rnacentral:rRNA from 1 species
AGAACGAACGCUGGCGGCAUGCCUAACACAUGCAAGUCGAACGAGACCGCUGACUUCGGUUGGCGCGUCUAGUGGCGCACGGGUGCGUAACGCGUGGGAAUCUGCCCUUGGGUACGGAAUAACAGUUAGAAAUGACUGCUAAUACCGUAUAAUGACUUCGGUCCAAAGAUUUAUCGCCCAGGGAUGAGCCCGCGUAGGAUUAGCUUGUUGGUGAGGUAAAAGCUCACCAAGGCGACGAUCCUUAGCUGGUCUGAGAGGAUGAUCAGCCACACUGGGACUGAGACACGGCCCAGACUCCUACGGGAGGCAGCAGUGGGGAAUAUUGGACAAUGGGCGAAAGCCUGAUCCAGCAAUGCCGCGUGAGUGAUGAAGGCCUUAGGGUUGUAAAGCUCUUUUGCCCGGGAUGAUAAUGACAGUACCGGGAGAAUAAGCUCCGGCUAACUCCGUGCCAGCAGCCGC